CAGCAGCCGCGGUAAUUCCAGCUCCAAUAGCGUAUACUAAAGUUGUUGCGGUUAAAAAGCUCGUAGUUGGAUCUUGGAAUGUGUUCAAGCGGGUCAGCUUCUGGCUGUGCGCUGCUUGACGUGUUCUUCUAUUUGGUUUUGGUGCGGUGCGCUUAACUGCGUGUCGCUCCCGGCCGAAACGUUUACCUUGAAAAAAUUAGAGUGUUCAAAGCAGACCUGUUUGAGUCUGAAUAUUCGUGCAUGGAAUAAUGAAAUAUGAAUUCGGUUCUAUUUUGUUGGUUUUCGGAACUCGAGUUAAUGAUCAAGAGGGACAGACGGGGGCAUUCGUACUCUGCCGUUAGAGGUGAAAUUCUUGGAUCGGCGGAAGACGCGCAACUGCGAAAGCAUUUGCCAAGAAUGUUUUCUUUAAUCAAGAACGAUAGUCGGAGGUUCGAAGACGAUCAGAUACCGUCCUAGUUUCGACUGUAAACUAUGCCAGCUAACGAUCAGACAGAGUUCUCUACGACUUGUCUGGCAGUUUCCGGGAAACCAAAGCGUUUGGGUUCCGGGGGAAGUAUGGUUGCAAAGCUGAAACUUAAAGGAAUUGACGGAAGGGCACCACCAGGAGUGGAGCCUGCGGCUUAAUUUGACUCAACACGGGGAAACUCACCCGGCCCGGACACAGUGAGGAUUGACAGAUUGAGAGUUCUUUCUUGAUUCUGUGGGUGGUGGUGCAUGGCCGUUCUUAGUUGGUGGAGCGAUUUGUCUGGUUAAUUCCGAUAACGAACGAGACUCUGGCAUGUUAAAUAGUCGCGGAAGUGCGUAUGCACUUGCCGAAUUGACUUCUUAGAGGGACUAGUGAUUUUAAUUCACACGAGAUUGAGCAAUAACAGGUCUGUGAUGCC
rnacentral:rRNA from 1 species